UACCAAUUGAGGAUACCAUCUGCCUAGCUGGUCUAUUGUGAAGUUUAAAUGAAAAAAGCUGGGUUAAUGUCAUCCUCUCAUUUAAGACACAGCUGAAACAUCACCUCCUCCAGGAAGCCUUCCCAUCUGAAUGCGAUACCCUCUCUGGGCCCCCGAUACCCCCAUGGCUUUGGAAACUGCCGGCCUCUAUCACUGGAUUCAGAGCACCUUCAAGGGAGGACAUCGGACUAAUGUCUGGGUCCCCCAGCGUGUGACUUAAGUGCAGGGCCCUGCACACAGUGGGUGCUUACUGAAGGCUGACAGACUGACUUGGCACAUGGAAGACCAGACCAGAUUGUCCUCCAUGCCCUCUAGCUGACCACACGGCAGGAAAGCAUGCAGGGGAGUGGCCUCUGGCCACCAGAUGGCACCCCUAGCCAUGCAAUGGCUCCAUCGGGGCUGGGUUGGGUGCUAGGGGAGCGAGGGGGAGGGCUGCAAUGGGUAACUCUCCCUACCACCCCCACCCCCAGCCCACACAGGCCACCAGGGGUCAGCAGCCCAGGCCACUCUUUCACUUCCCCUUGCCUGAUCCCUGGCAGACCCUAGCAGACUGAAUGUCUGGCUGGAUAGGAGAACGGAGCAGGUGUGCUCCAGGGGAUCCCCAAAGCAUGAGUGAAGGGUAAGAAAGUGAAGGGAGGGUCUCCUAGGGGAUCCCCACAAUGCAGCCAUUGCUUCUGAGUCAGCGAAAGUGACCUCCACUUCCUGCUUGGCUGCCUAGGUGGAGAUUGGUGCUUUAAUUAGCACCUCGGGGUGUGUGCUCCAACCUGGAAGAACAGGAAUCCGGGGUGCUUGGCAGCUCUGUGGGGCAGAGAACCCCACCUUGGGCUGAGACCCUGGGUGCACCAUCUAGCUCUGCCGGUCCUUAGCGGUGUGAGCUUGAGCAGGUGUGUCACCUCUGAGCUUUAACGUGUCCCAGCGCCGAUUCACCAAGGACCUGCUGCUUCAGCCAGGCAGACUGGGCGAGGCGUCUUCAUGGGCAUUUAUCUCUUGGAAGCCUUCCAGCCGUCCAAGGGGUGGUGACGGCACCUUGCUUAACAGAUGGAGCCAGCUGGCCUUCCCAGAUGCAGUCUGACCCCUCCUGCUUGCAAAGGGGCCUGGGCAUAGGUCCCGCCAGGUGGCCCCGGCAGCCCUGGGUUGGAGCUCAGCACUGGCUUCUGGUGCUCACUGUUGCUUUGUACUGUCCCCGGCAUCUGCCCUCCGUCAGUGGCAGGAGCAUCCACAAUCAGGGGUCAGGAGAGGUGAUUCCUGAAGGUCCACCCCUGAGGUCCCCAGCUCUGUCCCCUGGCCAGGGAGUCUUGGAGUGCUAAGGGCCUCUGCCUUCCCACCGCCUCAGCGCCAGAGCUACAGGAUCCAGUGCAUUCUGGGGCCACCCUUGUGGGAGGUCAUCUGCCAGCUGAUCCAUUCACCUCGCUCAGCUGUCACCUCUGUAUCCAGGCCCUGGAGGGGGGAUGGCUCAGGGUCCUAUUGGGAGGCCCUCCUUCCAGAUCUCUGCUUUGACUCCCAGCUCUAUGCGUGGGGGGUCUUCCAUGACCCACCUUAGACAUUCCAAUUAGGGUCAGGCCCUUCCCAGCUCCCCCUGGUCCCGGGAGAACAGCCCAGCUUCGUUACGACACACCGUUGCUUGCUGACUUCUCUGUCUGCUUCCACAGAUGGGGACCCCAGGGGCAAGAACCAGGCCUCAUCUAGUCGUCUCCUCCCAUACUACCCAGAUGGGCACAUGGCAAACCUCGGAUAGCGUUCACCGACUGACUGUGAUGGCAACAGCUGAGACAAAAUCAAGCCCGAGGCCCUUCACGACUGCCGCCAUGACGCUGGCCCUGCCCACUGGCUUUUGCCCUCCCACGCGGGAGCCUGAUGAAGCGAGACGCCUGCGCCAGGAGG